GCCACAAGUGGGUGCAGCGGGCGCAGCCCCCAGCCCUGGCGCCUCGGACACACCCACUCGCCGCCGCACUCACGCGCCUCCCAUCCACCACGCACAGACGCCCACGCGCGCACUCCCGGGCGCACGCUGGCACCUCCACAUGACCGCAAAGGCGCCCGGAAUCCUGAUGCCAGCAAGGUCCUUGGGGAUCACCUAAUCCAUCCCCCUGCCUGCAAGCGGGACCAGACUUCCACCCCGCAAUUCGACGAGAGCCCCAGUCCCACGAGGCCCUGGAGCGAAGGACUUUCUGAAAGCCCUCCGGCGUUGCUUCUUCAGAAUGAAAUACACCUGUGUCCGGAAGGUCUUUCACACAGCUAACCUGAGGACUCCAGGCUGUUAAAUAGGCUCCUAGGACCACCCCACCAACUCUUCGAAUGACUCUGAAAAGCCCGAAGCCCCAAUUCGAGUCUGUUAGUCUCAGCCCCUUUCUUCCACCCAGAAAAUGGGGCUGUAGAAGUUCACUUAGAUAGGCAGAUCCUUGACACCCAGCACUUGGUGGUAACCUUGGCGCCCUAGGCUUCCACUCCUGGCUGCCACCAUCAGGCAGAUCCAGGACAGGUUCCUUUGGUCACCCCCAGCUGCCUCCUGCUGAGGUGGGUUCAGUUACUUUUAAAAAUAGUCCAAAGCCAUUCUGAACCAAAGUCUUGAAUCAGCUGUGAAGCCAGAUUUGGAGAAGUAUCCAUCUCCGGUUCAGCAGGGAACGCAGGAGGCCAGGCCUGGGAGGAGAGUCCAAGGGCUGACAGUGUCUGGUGGAGCCUCAGCAUCUCUGCACCAACCGUGUGCCCUCCUGAGGUUAUUGCUUGAAGGACCACGUUCAUUUAUCAGAGCAAAACAAUAUUUCCCAGCCUCCCCUUCAGAAUGGUGAGGACAUGUGACUGAACUCUGGCCAACAGGAUGUGAGCAAAAGUGAUGGCGUGCUGAGAUCCCAGAUGUGUGUCUCUCCAGAUCCGGAGUGCCAGCCUCUAGGCCAUUCUGGCUGAAGGCUUCAUGUGUGUUAUUUUUACCUCCCAACGAAACCGUAAGCCUCUCAUCGUCAGGAACUGUCACGAGGACAUGGGCUGACCCUGGGACUGGACACUCAACUUGCAUUUGUCGGAUGGAGCAGAAUGAGACAGGAAAGCCCAGUGCUGGGCGUGUUUUCCCCCUGGGCAGCCUAGCAAGCCACCAACAGCCCCAGCGACCACCAGAGGGAAGGGAGCAGGCUUUUGAGUCCAAAGUUCAUCGGAGACCAGAAGGAUUUGCCCUAGAGGACAUUCAGCCCUUUGCGCAGUGUGAACUUGGCCGUGGAGCAGGGCCCUCCUCCCACUGCACCAGCAGCAACAGGGCAGCUACUCCACGCUGGGCACUGAAGAUGCUUCCUGGCCCUGAGGACCCAGACAAGGCCCAGGAUCCAACAAGACAGUGCCCCUGCGCUCCUGGACUGCAGCCCUCUCUGUGCACCCCUGAAGCACAUGGAUACGUCUCCAGGUACCAUCACCCUCCGCUUGUCACCAUCUUCUGGGGCCCGAGCAAGCAUUUCUUGGGAGCCUGUGUCCAUUUGAUGGGAUAUGGGGAGGGGUGUGUAGAUGACAGCGAGUCCAGCUAAGACCCCAUCUACACGGUGCGAAAACGCUCUGUGAUCCUAUCAUAACUCAGUCCUACCGGGUCUGUCUGCUUCCUGGGCAAGAGGAGCCCCGCCCCUCCCCAGGCACACCUGCCAGGCCAGCCGCAGCCCAUUGACACUAAUGGCUCUGGCUGCCGGACUUGCCUUGGCAGGAAGGGAUUGGGUUUCAGAAAUCCGAGAAUUAACUCAUCUUCCCAGGCUUUGAUGUGAGGCCUUAGCUCUGUGUGGAAACGUUGGACAUGCCACAUAUGCCCCCCCCUUCCAGCCUUACCCUUGCCCAAGAGGCUCCCCCUGGCUCGGCCGGAAGUUGGGUGGCUCGGAGGAACUGCUCUUUCCUCUCUAGCUCCUGACUCUCCUUCCUCUUGGCUACUCACUCUGUGUACCCCUUCUGCCAUGCCGCCCACACACACCCGGAUGCACACACACGCGCACGCACAUGCACACGCACCUGUCCCAUGGAACACGGUUGUAAUGACAUAACCACUAACCCUCUCCGACAGCCACUUUUCCCCCCGUCAGAAGAGAGAGAAAGCAAACCCAAGGCUAAAAAGGCAGCUGUGACCACACCGAAAGUGCUUCCUCUGAGUUCGAAUAGGUUGUAUUUUCCUGCGUUGUAAAGUACGUGGAAGGAGCGGGUGUCCUGGCCCGCUCACUGCUCUGCGAGAAG
rnacentral:lncRNA from 1 species